rnacentral:lncRNA from 1 species
GUCCUAUGAUGUCUGGUUGAGUUUUCCUCCUCUCCGUUGGUGUCGAUAAACGUGAGUCUCCCUUUCGUCCUAUGAUGUCUGGUUGAGUUUUCCUCCUCUCCGUUGGUGUCGAUAAACGUGAGUCUUCCUUUCGUCCUAUGACGUCUGGUUGAGUUUUCCUCCUCUCCGUUGGUGUCGAUAAACGUCGAGUUUUUCCUAUUCGUCCUAUGACGUCUAGUUGUACCUGUCCCCAUGUGGAUUUACCUCUCCGUUGGCCAUGGUAAACGUUGAGUUUUUCCCAUUACGUCCGCUGACGUAUGGUUGUAUCUUUUCCAGUCAUUCAUUAAUGUCUGGUUACCUCUCCGUUGGUCUUGGUAAACGUUGAGUUUUUUCCUAGUUGUCCGUUGGCAUCUAGUUGUGAUUUCUUUUCCCAUUCAUCGUCGUUGCGAUGUCUGGAUGUGGCCGUACCCUUUGAAAACAAAAAACAAAAAAAUACCCAGUAAUAAGUAUCAAAUCCCAGUGGACGUUUCCAUUAUUGGAUCCCUGCAUUGUGCAAAUUUCUACGGUUCUUUGGUAUUCAAUCCCUGUUUACCCUGAAAGUCUGACAGCCAUUGCUAUCAUCCGUUCGGGUUCCCAGCUGAGUGUCGAUAAACGUGAGUCUCCCUUUCGUCCUAUGAUGUCUGGUUGAGUUUUCCUCCUCUCCGUUGGUGUCGAUAAACGUCGAGUUUUUCCUAGUCAUCCGAUGAUGUCUAGUUGUACCCCUCUCCCUGCAGAGUUACCUCUCCGUUGGUGUCGGUAAACGUUGAGUUUUUCCUAGUUGUCCGUUGGCAUCUAGUUGUGAUUUCUUUUCCCAUUCAUCGUCGUUGCGAUGUCUGGAUGUGGCCGUACCCUUUGAAAACAAAAAACAAUAAUACCCAGUAAUAAGUAUCAGAUCCCAGUGGACGUUUCCAUUAUUGGAUCCCUAUUGUGCAAAUUCUAUGGUUCUUGGUAUUCAAUCCCUGGUUACCCUGAAAGUCUGACAGCCACCGCUAUCAUCCGUUCGGGUUCCCAGCUGAUUGAAUAGGGGCAGCUGUAGCACCUCAAAUUUGCACCUAUCAUUGUACAUACCAUCUCACAUUAGGUCAUAGCAUAUCAUGAUACAUUGCAUAGCAUUGCAUUGCCCCAGUUGCCUCAAGUGCAAGCAAAUCGAGAAAUUAGAGUGGAUUUACCUCUCCGUUGGUCUUGGUAAACGUUGAGUUUUUCCCAUUACGUCCGCUGACGUAUGGUUGUAUCUCUUCCAGUCAUUCAUUAAUGUCUGGUUACCUCUCUGUUGGUCUUGGUAAACGCUGAGUUUUUCCUAGUUGUCCGUUGGCAUCUAGUUGUGAUUUCUUUUCCCAUUCAUCGUCGUUGCGAUGUCUGGAUGUGGCCGUACCCUUUGCAAAAAAACAAAAAAAAUAC